UGGGUGACCUGCCUCUAGGUGGGGGAUAACCCGGGGAAACUCGGGCUAAUACCGCAUAACAUCGUGAGAUCAAAGAGGGGCGCAAGCCUCUCGCCGAGAGAGGGGCCCGCGUCUGAUUAGCUAGUUGGUGAGGUAACGGCUCACCAAGGCGACGAUCAGUAGCCGGCCUGAGAGGGCGAUCGGCCACACUGGAACUGAGACACGGUCCAGACUCCUACGGGAGCAG
rnacentral:rRNA from 1 species